UGCCGCUAGGUGUUGUGUGAACCAGGCUUCAUAGCGGCCCACCUCUUCCACACCUUUGUCUGUUUUCGGAUAAUUGCUAAAAUGACGACAGAUGGAGCUGCCCACAUUGAGCUUCAGAACAGCUCUUCCGAAACGUGUGAUUGACGUCAACGAAACUUUGUCCCGUCUAUCGGAGCAGGCCUGCUGCAUAGUUCAGUGACAGAUGGAUAAAUAAGGGGAACCAGUACCUACAUGAUGCAGGGAAUUACACAAGAGUGGGGAAGUUAGCCUAUGUAGAAAUAGCUUUACAGGAUUUUUACUGCAUGUAGCUACUGGAGUAAUCCUUCGGUCAAACACGGCAUCCCAGAUGUCGGCUCGUAGGUGGAACGGCAGAUACUGCUCACAACAGAAUCAGCAGUAAAGGUGGCAGAAAGAGCAACUUGGAUUCACGCCGGGGGGUGGAGGUCUCUGAGACCACCUAGAACCACUAAUCUCCCAAACACUCACUGCGGGCACACUGAUCAGUAGGAGCGGAGAGAGGCAUCGGUGGCUGUCUGAUGGGGGACAAUGGACACAAGAUAGAUGGACUGGCUAUUGAACUUGAAACUUGACAGCUCAGUGGAAGUGGGUUUUUCCACCAUUACUCCCACCGUGCAGGGCCUCAGAAAUGUGGCGUUGCAAAAUAGAACGGCACUGGACCUGGUGCUGGCAAGUCAAGGCGGAGUUUGCCACAUUUUUGGAAUGGACUGUUGUACGUACAUCCUAGAUGUCUCUGAUAAUGUGAUUAAUGUCACACAAUGUUUACAGUGGCGUUACAGCUGAAAAGUACUGUGUCCCGGAAAGGUGACAGUUCCUGUUCAGGUCGCAGGAUCUGAUGGGUUACACUAUGAUGCGUUACACCUGCUGAGAGUCAGUAAGAUGCCUAAAGGUCAAUAAAAAAUAAUAGUGCAUACUUUAAACCUCUCACUUGAAUAAAAAAAUCAAUAAAUUUAUGAAUACA